rnacentral:rRNA from 1 species
UUAAGCGACUAAGCGUACACGGUGGAUGCCCUGGCAGUCAGAGGCGAUGAAGGACGUGCUAAUCUGCGAUAAGCGUCGGUAAGGUGAUAUGAACCGUUAUAACCGGCGAUUUCCGAAUGGGGAAACCCAGUGUGUUUCGACACACUAUCAUUAACUGAAUCCAUAGGUUAAUGAGGCGAACCGGGGGAACUGAAACAUCUAAGUACCCCGAGGAAAAGAAAUCAACCGAGAUUCCCCAGUAGCGGCGAGCGAACGGGGAGCAGCCCAGAGCCUGAAUCAGUGUGUGUGUUAGUGGAAGCGUCUGGAAAGGCGUGCGAUACAGGGUGACAGCCCCGUACACAAAAAUGCACAUGCUGUGAGCUCGAUGAGUAGGGCGGGACACGUGGUAUCCUGUCUGAAUAUGGGGGGACCAUCCUCCAAGGCUAAAUACUCCUGACUGACCGAUAGUGAACCAGUACCGUGAGGGAAAGGCGAAAAGAACCCCGGCGAGGGGAGUGAAAAAGAACCUGAAACCGUGUACGUACAAGCAGUGGGAGCACGCUUAGGCGUGUGACUGCGUACCUUUUGUAUAAUGGGUCAGCGACUUAUAUUCUGUAGCAAGGUUAACCGAAUAGGGGAGCCGAAGGGAAACCGAGUCUUAACUGGGCGUUAAGUUGCAGGGUAUAGACCCGAAACCCGGUGAUCUAGCCAUGGGCAGGUUGAAGGUUGGGUAACACUAACUGGAGGACCGAACCGACUAAUGUUGAAAAAUUAGCGGAUGACUUGUGGCUGGGGGUGAAAGGCCAAUCAAACCGGGAGAUAGCUGGUUCUCCCCGAAAGCUAUUUAGGUAGCGCCUCGUGAAUUCAUCUCCGGGGGUAGAGCACUGUUUCGGCAAGGGGGUCAUCCCGACUUACCAACCCGAUGCAAACUGCGAAUACCGGAGAAUGUUAUCACGGGAGACACACGGCGGGUGCUAACGUCCGUCGUGAAGAGGGAAACAACCCAGACCGCCAGCUAAGGUCCCAAAGUCAUGGUUAAGUGGGAAACGAUGUGGGAAGGCCCAGACAGCCAGGAUGUUGGCUUAGAAGCAGCCAUCAUUUAAAGAAAGCGUAAUAGCUCACUGGUCGAGUCGGCCUGCGCGGAAGAUGUAACGGGGCUAAACCAUGCACCGAAGCUGCGGCAGCGACACUAUGUGUUGUUGGGUAGGGGAGCGUUCUGUAAGCCUGUGAAGGUGUGCUGUGAGGCAUGCUGGAGGUAUCAGAAGUGCGAAUGCUGACAUAAGUAACGAUAAAGCGGGUGAAAAGCCCGCUCGCCGGAAGACCAAGGGUUCCUGUCCAACGUUAAUCGGGGCAGGGUGAGUCGACCCCUAAGGCGAGGCCGAAAGGCGUAGUCGAUGGGAAACAGGUUAAUAUUCCUGUACUUGGUGUUACUGCGAAGGGGGGACGGAGAAGGCUAUGUUGGCCGGGCGACGGUUGUCCCGGUUUAAGCGUGUAGGCUGGUUUUCCAGGCAAAUCCGGAAAAUCAAGGCUGAGGCGUGAUGACGAGGCACUACGGUGCUGAAGCAACAAAUGCCCUGCUUCCAGGAAAAGCCUCUAAGCAUCAGGUAACAUCAAAUCGUACCCCAAACCGACACAGGUGGUCAGGUAGAGAAUACCAAGGCGCUUGAGAGAACUCGGGUGAAGGAACUAGGCAAAAUGGUGCCGUAACUUCGGGAGAAGGCACGCUGAUAUGUAGGUGAAGCGACUUGCUCGUGGAGCUGAAAUCAGUCGAAGAUACCAGCUGGCUGCAACUGUUUAUUAAAAACACAGCACUGUGCAAACACGAAAGUGGACGUAUACGGUGUGACGCCUGCCCGGUGCCGGAAGGUUAAUUGAUGGGGUUAGCCGCAAGGCGAAGCUCUUGAUCGAAGCCCCGGUAAACGGCGGCCGUAACUAUAACGGUCCUAAGGUAGCGAAAUUCCUUGUCGGGUAAGUUCCGACCUGCACGAAUGGCGUAAUGAUGGCCAGGCUGUCUCCACCCGAGACUCAGUGAAAUUGAACUCGCUGUGAAGAUGCAGUGUACCCGCGGCAAGACGGAAAGACCCCGUGAACCUUUACUAUAGCUUGACACUGAACAUUGAGCCUUGAUGUGUAGGAUAGGUGGGAGGCUUUGAAGUGUGGACGCCAGUCUGCAUGGAGCCGACCUUGAAAUACCACCCUUUAAUGUUUGAUGUUCUAACGUUGACCCGUAAUCCGGGUUGCGGACAGUGUCUGGUGGGUAGUUUGACUGGGGCGGUCUCCUCCUAAAGAGUAACGGAGGAGCACGAAGGUUGGCUAAUCCUGGUCGGACAUCAGGAGGUUAGUGCAAUGGCAUAAGCCAGCUUGACUGCGAGCGUGACGGCGCGAGCAGGUGCGAAAGCAGGUCAUAGUGAUCCGGUGGUUCUGAAUGGAAGGGCCAUCGCUCAACGGAUAAAAGGUACUCCGGGGAUAACAGGCUGAUACCGCCCAAGAGUUCAUAUCGACGGCGGUGUUUGGCACCUCGAUGUCGGCUCAUCACAUCCUGGGGCUGAAGUAGGUCCCAAGGGUAUGGCUGUUCGCCAUUUAAAGUGGUACGCGAGCUGGGUUUAGAACGUCGUGAGACAGUUCGGUCCCUAUCUGCCGUGGGCGCUGGAGAACUGAGGGGGGCUGCUCCUAGUACGAGAGGACCGGAGUGGACGCAUCACUGGUGUUCGGGUUGUCAUGCCAAUGGCACUGCCCGGUAGCUAAAUGCGGAAGAGAUAAGUGCUGAAAGCAUCUAAGCACGAAACUUGCCCCGAGAUGAGUUCUCCCUGACUCCUUGAGAGUCCUGAAGGAACGUUGAAGACGACGACGUUGAUAGGCCGGGUGUGUAAGCGCAGCGAUGCGUUGAGCUAACCGGUACUAAUGAACCGUGAGGCUUAACCUU